rnacentral:rRNA from 1 species
GCGCACGGGUGAGUAACGCGUGGAUUAUCUACCUAUUGGUACGGGACAACAGUUGGAAACGACUGCUAAUACCGUAUAAGCUGGUAACGGGAAAGGGGGCCUCUUCUUGAAAGCUCUCGCCAGUAGAUGAGUCCGCGUUUCAUUAGCUAGACGGUGGGGUAACGGCCUACCGUGGCAACGAUGAAUAGCAGGCCUGAGAGGGUGGCCUGCCACACUGGGACUGGAACACGGCCCAGACUCCUACGGGAGGCAGCAGUGGGGAAUAUUGCGCAAUGGACGAAAGUCUGACGCAGCGACGCCGCGUGGAGGAUGAAGGUUUUCGGAUCGUAAACUCCUGUCAAGAGGGAAGAAACCUGUUGAAAAUAAUACUUUCAGCAAUUGACGGUACCUCUAGAGGAAGCACCGGCUAAUUCAGUGCCAGCAGCCGCGGUAAUACUG